GAGCUUUGUGGCGCAGCUAACGCACUAAGUUGUCCGCGUGGGGAGUACGGUCGCAAGAUUAAAACUCAAAGAAUUGACGGGGGCCCGCACAAGCGGUGGAGCAUGUGGUUUAUUUCGAAGCAACGCGAAGAGCAUUUCCUGCCCUCGACAUGCUGAGAGAUUUUCAGAGAGAUAUUGUUGCCCUCUGGAGCUCUGACACACAUGUUGCACAGCGGUGUUCUCAUCUCGUCUUGAGAUAUUGGGGUAUAUCUCCCAACGAGAGCACCCCUUGUCUCCUAUUUACCACCACAUUUUGGUGGGCACUCUAAGGAGACUGCCGGUGACAAACCGGAGGAAGGUGGGGAUGACGUCAAGUCAUCAUGGCCCUUACGGCCAGGGCUACACACGUGCUACA
rnacentral:rRNA from 2 species